CAAACGGCCCUUUUCAGGGCCACCAAACAAUGUGCAACCUGAUUAAU
rfam:Trichuris muris Edinburgh genomic scaffold, scaffold81